GGGAGGCUGCAGUAGGGAAUCUUCCACAAUGGGCGAAAGCCUGAUGGAGCAACGCCGCGUGUGUGAUGAAGGCUUUCGGGUCGUAAAGCACUGUUGUAUGGGAAGAACAGCUAGAAUAGGAAAUGAUUUUAGUUUGACGGUACCAUACCAGAAAGGGACGGCUAAAUACGUGCCAGCAGCCGCGGUAAUACGUAUGUCCCGAGCGUUAUCCGGAUUUAUUGGGCAUAAAGCGAGCGCAGACGGUUUAUUAAGUCUGAUGUGAAAGCCCGGAGCUCAACUCCGGAAUGGCAUUGGAAACUGGUUAACUUGAGUGCAGUAGAGGUAAGUGGAACUCCAUGUGUACCGGUGGAAUGCGUAGAUAUAUGGAAGAACACCAGUGGCGAAGGCGGCUUACUGGACUGCAACUGACGUUGAGGCUCGUAAGUGUGUGUAGCAAACAGGAUUAGAUACCCUGGUAGUCCACACCGUAAACGAUGAACACUAGGUGUUAGGAGUUUUCCGCCUCUUAGUGCCGAAGCUAACGCAUUAAGUGUUCCGCCUGGGGAGUACGACCGCAAGGUUGAAACUCAAAGGAAUUGACGGGGACCCGCACAAGCGGUGGAGCAUGUGGUUUAAUUCGAAGCAACGCGAAGAACCUUACCAGGUCUUGACAUCCUUUGAAGCUUUUAGAGAUAGAAGUGUUCUCUUCGGAGACAAGUGACAGGUGGUGCAUGGUCGUCGUCAGCUCGUGUCGUGAGAAUGUUGGGUUAAGUCCCGCAACGAGCGCAACCCUUAUUU
rnacentral:rRNA from 1 species